rnacentral:piRNA from 1 species
UGGGCUCUAUCCUUCCCUGUUCUUGAUGUCC